rnacentral:ncRNA from 12 species
GUUAAGUUAUACGACUGACGGAAGUGGAAUAAACCACAGGGAGUAUAAUCGUGUAAAAGAGUCGACCGUCUGGGCUAAGAAU